rnacentral:rRNA from 1 species
UACAGAGGGUGCGAGCGUUGUUCGGAAUUACUGGGCGUAAAGCGCGCGCAGGCGGCCUUUUAAGUCUGACGGUGAAAUGCCGGGGCUCAACCCCGUGCCCGCCGGAGAUACUGGGAGGCUGGAGACGAGUAGAGGCAAGCGGAAUUCCGGGUGUAGCGGUGGAAUGCGUAGAGAUCCGGAAGAACGACCGGUGGCGAAGGCGGGUCUCUGGGCCGAAACUGACGCUGAGGAGCGAAAGCGUGGGAGCAAACAGG